rnacentral:rRNA from 1 species
UGGGGAAUAUUGGACAAUGGGCGCAAGCCUGAUCCAGCCAUGCCGCGUGUGUGAAGAAGGCCUUUUGGUUGUAAAGCACUUUAAGCGAGGAGGAGGCUCCUUUAGUUAAUACCUAAAGAGAGUGGACGUUACUCGCAGAAUAAGCACCGGCUAACUCUGUGCCAGCAGCCGCGGUAAUACAGAGGGUGCGAGCGUUAAUCGGAUUUACUGGGCGUAAAGCGUGCGUAGGCGGCUUUUUAAGUCGGAUGUGAAAUCCCUGAGCUUAACUUAGGAAUUGCAUUCGAUACUGGAAAGCUAGAGUAUGGGAGAGGAUGGUAGAAUUCCAGGUGUAGCGGUGAAAUGCGUAGAGAUCUUGGAGGAAUACCGAUGGCGAAGGCAGCCAUCUGGCCUAAUACUGACGCUGAGGUACGAAAGCAUGGGGAGCAAACA